AUGCUGGGUUAUAGUAAGCACCUUCUCAAUGUGCAAUACAGGAUGCAUCCAAAAAUAAGCAAGUUUCCAGUUGUUACAUUUUAUGAGGGCAAGAUAUCUGAUGGUCCCAAUGUCUCUACUGAGAGCUAUGAAAAAAGGUUUUUAGGAAGCAAAAUCUUUGGGUCAUACUCCUUCAUAAAUGUAGAUGGAGGACAUGAAACAACUGAGAAGUACGGGCGUAGCCUGAGAAACACAAUUGAAGCUGCUGCAGUUUCGCGGAUAGUGCAGAGGUUGUUCAAAGAGUCAUUCUCUACAGGAAUCAAAAUCUCUGUUGGUGUUCUGUCCCCAUAUAAUGCUCAAGUUUGA
rnacentral:rRNA from 1 species